AACGAACGCUGGCGGCAUGCCUAACACAUGCAAGUCGAACGAGACCUUCGGGUCUAGUGGCGCACGGGUGCGUAACGCGUGGGAACCUGCCCUUAGGUUCGGAAUAACUCCCCGAAAGGGGUGCUAAUACCGGAUAAUGUCCUCGGACCAAAGAUUUAUCGCCUUUGGAUGGGCCCGCGUUGGAUUAGCUAGUUGGUAGGGUAAAAGCCUACCAAGGCGACGAUCCAUAGCUGGUCUGAGAGGAUGAUCAGCCACACUGGGACUGAGACACGGCCCAGACUCCUACGGGAGGCAGCAGUGGGGAAUAUUGGACGAUGGGCGAAAGCCUGAUCCAGCAAUGCCGCGUGAGUGAUGAAGGCCUUAGGGUUGUAAAGCUCUUUUACCCGGGAUGAUAAUGACAGUACCGGGAGAAUAAGCACCGGCUAACUCCGUG
rnacentral:rRNA from 1 species